rnacentral:lncRNA from 1 species
AGCUCGCGUAGGCUACUGUUUUCCUCCUCUAGAUGUGCCACCCGCUCGCCAUAGGCGCCACCGUGCAGGCUCGGUGAGCCAGGCCGGCGGCGGCGGCGCGGGCGGCGGAGGCGGAUCUGUGUCUCGAUGUGCUCGCUAAGAGCUCCGCGGGGCAGCCGGGGCCCCGCUCGGCUACUGAAAUAGCCGCAGAGGCGCGCGUGGAACUGGCGGAAGGUGAGCUCUGGAGGGUCGGCUCGCAGAGCCAGGCGCGCCUCUUCCCUGACGUCCGCGUCCCCGCCAGCGAUCAUCCCAGCAGCCGGGUUCGUGGAGGCCGCCUCCGCGGAGUUUGCGUCCUCCGUGGCCGUCUCCCCGUCAGCGUUCAGCCCCAGUACCGCGCAGAGCGCACGGAAGUCGGCGCGCGGUAGGCGGCCCGCUCCCCGGCAGUCCAAGUGGUGGAAAACCUCCUGCAGAUACUGAUCCAGACCGGUAGCCAGCACCACGAUCUCAUUCUCCACGCCGCGGUCCAGCCCGUAGUGGCCUUUCCGCUAUUGUCACCAGAGGCUGGAGCGCCUGCGCCUGCUGUUGUGUUCUGCAAUUCCCAGCCCUCGGCCGGCCGUUCUCUGCCUCUUCUCCAGACUGCUUCCUAAGCUCUCCCUCCCUCCUCGUAACUAGAACCGAGGAGGAAACAAACUUGGACGUGGAUGAAGUUAGAGUUUUGGUGAGAGGAAAGUGGUUGUCUACCGCGGCCACCUUUGGGCUCCAGGUGGUUGCUUGGCCUGAGCUCCUUCCGCUGGCUGGGAUGAGAAAUGUAGUAUUGACUCCGUCUGGCGCUUGCCAUGGGAACCUUACCCAGCCAUAUUGGAGCGAAGAGCAAACUCAGCGGCCCUUGACUAUUAGAUAAGCAGAUCUUGUUUUGUGUACAAAUCCCAGUUGAAAAGCAUUAUCAUUUUGUUUCCUCCAUUAUAGCACCCCCGACCAGCACUUUGUCCUUUGUUCCACACACUUCGGGAAGGAAUCAGACAUCCCAAGCAUUUUGGAUAUACAUGUGUACAUAUAUAUGUUAAUUAUAAAACCAAUGGCAAUUUAACGGAAUAAUGUACAAUACCAUACCUUGGCUUCUACCUUGGAAAACCACAUGCACAGCAUGUUCAUUGACCACAUUAUUGAUUAUAAUGGCUAGAAGCUGAUAUUCAGCAGGGGCCCAGGCAGGACAAAUCGUGGAACAGGGAUAAACGAGGAAACACGCUACAGCAGUUAUUGUGACUGUUAUGACUAAUGAAUGGUAUGUGAUAAUAACAACACUGCACAGAACAUUACUGGAUGCUUUCUACAAGGAUGCACAUAAGGAAUGGCAGCCACAGAACAUCUGGUUGCUGUUUCUGGUGAUGGUGAACCCUUUGCUAUCGGUGCACUGGCUCUUUUGCUGAAAUGGGAGAUUGCACUGUAAGAUGUACAGAUCAACAGUUUUUAGUAUGUUACAGUUAUCUGACCACAACUACAGUCUAGUACUUCAAUAUUUCUACUCCCUCCAUCCCCACCCUGCCCUCACCAUGUGCACCCCAAUACUGCUCAGUCUCUAACUUGUCCUUCUGCUAAGGGAAGCGACUACUUUAUGAAUCCAUAAUCUGCUUAUUCUAGAUAUUCAUAUGACUGGAAUCUAAUAGAAGGUGACCUUCUGGGGCUGCAGAGAUGGCUCAGUGGUUAAGAGCACUGGCUGCUCUUCCAGAGGACCUGGGUCCAAUUCUUGUCCCCUCAAGGUGGCUCACAACCAUCUGUAACUUCAGUCCCAGAGAAUCCAAUGCCCUCAUCUGCAUGCACAUGACACAUAGAUAAAUAGAAGCAAAACACCUAUACACAUAAGAUUAAAAGGGGGAAUUUAAGGUGGUCUCCUGUGUAAUUGUUAUUUGCGUGUUUGCUUGCAUUUUUUUUUUUGUAUUCCUAGAUCAUCUUUAUUUGAUUUUUUUGGGGGGGGGGAGAAAAAUGUAGGUAGUGUAAAACACUUUUUAUAUUAAAACAGGUGCUGAUAAUAUUGAAUAGAAUAUAAAA